rnacentral:rRNA from 1 species
UCAAGCACGCCACCGAAGUUGUGGCAUUGACAUUAUUGGUAGGCCUUCGUGGUCCAGCCGUGUUGAUGGGUAGGAGAGCGUCGUGUGGCCAGCGAAGCGGCGGUGGAAACCAGCCGUGGAGGCUACACGAGUGAGAAUGCAGGCAUGAGUAGCGAAUGACGUGUGAGAAACACGUCCUCCGAAAGACCAAGGGUUCCAGGGUCAAGCUAAUCUUCCCUGGGUAAGUCGGGACCUAAGGCGAGGCCGACAGGCGUAGUCGAUGGACAACGGGUUGAUAUUCCCGUACCGGCGAAGAACCGCCCAAGCUAAUCCAGUGGUGCUAAACGUCCAAGCCUUCACAUCGUUGCCUUCGGGUGACACCGUGGAGGGGAGCACGUGACCCCAUGCUGGUGCGGUUAGCGUAUUAACAGGUGUGACGCAGGAAGGUAGUCCAAGCCAGGCGAUGGUUGUCCUGGUGCAAGUGCGUAGGCCGAGUCGUAGGCAAAUCCGCGACUCAUACAGGCUGAGACACGAUGCGGAUAAAAAGUGGAUGAUCCUAUGCUGCCGAGAAAAGCAUCGACGCGAGGUUCUAGCUGCCCGUACCCCAAACCGACUCAGGUGGUCAGGUAGAGAAUACCAAGGAGAUCGAGAGAAUCGUGGUUAAGGAACUCGGCAAAAUGCCCCCGUAACUUCGGGAGAAGGGGGGCCUUCGACGUAUUAGGACUUGCUCCGAAAGCGUUUGGAGGCCGCAGAGACUAGUGGGUAGCGACUGUUUACUAAAAACACAGGUCCGUGCCAAGUCGCAAGACGAUGUAUACGG